CCUCUCCCCGCCCGCCCUUCCCUCCUCACAGGCGCGGGGCCAGGCGGGAAAGCGCCGGUUGGAGCCGCCGGUGCCCCUUCAGGAACCGUAACGCCCCCGGACGGCGCGGGGGGGAGAGCUGGGGGCUGGAGGUGAGAGGAUGGCUGAGGAAGAAGGAAGUUCGUUGCCUUCUCGUGGUUUCACCUCAGUGGGGCUCGUAUCCCGCGGUUCGCAAGCGCAUCGUCCUUGUUAUGGAGCGCGCUGUUCUUCCUUAGGAACGGGAUGCCUUCCAGAAGUCUGGUGGACUAAAUGAUAACCAUGGUAUUAACAGGAGUACUCAAAGAAAAGAAGGCCGUUGCAGAGAAGGUCAUAAACUAUUUGAAUCAGUGGAUAUCCUGGAAAUGGAAGGGAUGUUGAAGAGAGAAUGGAUGAAACUGAUAAAAUGAACAGUAGGAAACCACUAGGACCAGAUGGAAAUUGCUAACAGGUCACCCUGAAGAAGGGAUUCUGCAUGAAUGUGCAGGGAUGAACCUGGUCUCAAAGCCUGAAAACACCCUACUCGCUAACGAAUGCCUUCGCGGGUAAAGCAGAACGGAUGCCUGCAGAUCCCCUACCAGACAUUCUGUGACAGGAACAUUUCAGAAGGAAAAUGAAAUGCCUCUCUCUGGAGGCUCACAGGAGUUCUGCACUGCUGCAGCCUUUUCUCAUGGAGCCAACUUGGAGCUCAAACCUACUGUUAUCCCUCUCAUCCUGAUGUAUUUUCUCCUGUUUGUCCAAUCGGGCAUCAUUUUUGCUGACGAAUAGCAGUCUGAAAUACGGGCUCCACUAUGCUGCUUGAAGAUCUUACUUUUUAAAACAGCUCCAUUUAAUUUUUAGACCCUUUUUGUAAAUUAGGAGUGCUGUGGCAAUCCAGAUAUCCUUUACAGCCUUCCGAUCUCCUGUGGAACCAUCAAAAAUUUCAGCUGUGGUAGGUCUCGUUUUGCGCUUGAUUUCUGCAGGGCUUCACCCUGCUAUUUGCACGCAGCAAAGCGAUAGUUUUCUUCCAUAGCGGCUGGAAUAAAUUUCUCAGAACUUCUAAUUUGUCCCAUUGAGGGCCAAGGUCUGGGGAAAAUUUAACUGCUGCAACCCCUGUAGUUAUUAUGGUCAGAAAUAUAAUUCUAACUGGUCAGAAAUAUAAUUCUAAGUGGCGGUGGAAAGAAACUGAGACAGCUAAAACGGUAGAGCAAGACAUCAGCAGUGUCAAGCAUUAAAGCCUCUUGGUUUUAAAAUAACAGCCCUUCUAUCUUUGCCUUUUCCUCUCUUUGAGAGGGCUCCACCUCUCAGGAUUCUGCAUUUUGAGGUACUGUCUUCUGGGCGAGUAGGAACAGACGUGAUUGCUCUCCCAGAAACAGCUUUUUAGUAAAGUAGCUUUAGAGUCGUUGCUGACCCACAAAUGCUGGAUGUAAUCCUGCCUCUCUGCUUGCCGACACAUCCCAACCAAGGGAAGACGACAGGUCCGCGUGGCAGUUCGCACGCAGGCAUGGCAGCAGAUAAAACCCGAGGUGUUCCAUGGCCCACCAAGAGGUAGAGAUUUGACGGAGGGCCCAGGUGAGCCUCAGGGUGUCUUCAGCUGCCGGAGGGGCUUAGGACAGCAGCGUCCCAUGGCUCAGGAGGGUGGGAGCUGGCAGAGUCUGGGGCUGUCCUGAAGCCACACGGUGCCCCUGCAGCCCCGGGGCAGACGUACCCUUAGAGACAGGUACAAUUCUUGACAUGGAAUUACUGUUUUGUGACAGACAGAGAGAGGUACCUGACAGUUGUGAAGUUCUGUGCUCUGCUUGCCAACAGCCGAAGCCUCCAGCUGGUAGUGCCAUACACCUGUGCCGGCCCGGCUGUGGUGUGUUUCCGUGCGGGGAAGGGGUUCGGAUGAGUAUUGCCACCUUCUGCUCCCCCGGCUAGGAGGAGAUCGGGGGACGUGAGCUGAGGGGGAUCUGCCGCGCACGGACCAAGUCCCUGCUGUGGGUGCUUGGACCAGGCGUCCAGGGCUUGGCAAUUUGCUGGUAACGCUGAAAGCUCCAUCAUACUUAAUAUAAACCUGCCUAAUCCUUCCUCGGCUGGAACCCUUCCUGGCCGCCGGCAUUGAGAAGCAGCUCGUUUCUCCAUUCGCUGCCUUUUUUUUCCCUUUUGCCUGGUGAGUCUGGAUCACCGGCGGGUGAGACUACCGAGUCAAUUAAAUAUGGAAUCGGCAAAACAGCAAGUUAAAUGAAACAAAUAAAGCACACGAUCUUGAUGAA